AUGGACGCCACCGCAAUCACUAACGCGGACUAUGCCCACUCAGUGAAAGGGCGAUUCACCAUCUCCAGAGACAACCCCGACCACCUGCUGUAUCUGCCACUGACCGGCCUGAGACCCGAGGACGCGGCGGUCACCCUUCAAUGUGUGAUAUUAGCCAGUCUCCUCCCUGGGAUUCAGGGCCAGGUGCGGCUGGUGGAGUCCGGGGGCGGGGCUGCGAACACAGGCGGCUCCAGGCGGCUCUCCUGCACCGGCUCCGGAUUCGCUUUCGGCAGCUACAUCAUGUUCUGGUACCGGCAGGCCCCCGGGACAGGCCUGGAAUGGGUCUCCUGGAUCAGCGGCAGUAGCACGGAUUACACUAACGCAGUGAAAGGGCGAUUCACCGUCACCAGAGACAACACCAAGAACCAGCUGUAUCUGCAAAUGAGCCGCCUGCGACCCGAGGACACCGCCCGCUAUUUCUGCGCUGUGAGAGACACAGUGACGCGAAGCCAGGCUGAGCUCUCACAAAAACUCGCCGCGUUCAGCUCAGGGGAUUCGGCAUCGUCCCGUAACCAGCAUCACCCCCUGAAUUCCGGCGUCCCUCACCCAGAACUCAUAGCCCGCUGCUGAGCCACCCACUCACUG